rnacentral:rRNA from 1 species
GCGUGAGUGAUGAAGGUCUUCGGAUUUGUAAGUCUUUUGGCCGGAAAGAAACUGCACUGUUUAAUCCGGGGCGAUAAUGACGGUACCUGCAGAAAAACCCCGGCUAAAUUCGUUCCCGCAGCCGCGGUAAUACCUAGGGGGCAAGCCUUUUUCGGAAUUUCUGGGCGUAAAGGGUGCGCAAGGGGUUUGUAAAAAAAGAAGUGAAAUCCCAGGGCUUAACCCUGGAACUGCAUUUUAUACUGGGCGCUUUAGAGUUUGAAGGAGGGAAGUGGAAUUCCGGGUGUAGCAAUGAAAUGGGUAAAUAUGGGGAAGAACCCCGGUGGGGAAGGCCGCCUCCUGGGAUAACACUGACGGUUGGGCCGAAAAGCGUGGGGAGCAAACAGGAUUAAAUUCCCUGGUAGUCCACGCCCUAAAAGAUGUCAACUAUGUUUUGGGGCCUUCGGGCCUUA